GACGAACGCUGGCGGCGUGCUUAACACAUGCAAGUCGAACGGAAAGGCCCUGCUGUUGUGGGGUGCUCGAGUGGCGAACGGGUGAGUAACACGUGAGUAACCUGCCCUUGACUUUGGGAUAACUUCAGGAAACUGGGGCUAAUACCGGAUAGGAGCUCCUGCUGCAUGGUGGGGGUUGGAAAGUUUCGGCGGUUGGGGAUGGACUCGCGGCUUAUCAGCUUGUUGGUGGGGUAGUGGCUUACCAAGGCUUUGACGGGUAGCCGGCCUGAGAGGGUGACCGGCCACAUUGGGACUGAGAUCCGGCCCAGACUCCUACGGGAGGCAGCAGUGGGGAAUAUUGCACAAUGGGCGGAAGCCUGAUGCAGCAACGCCGCGUGCGGGAUGACGGCCUUCGGGUUGUAAACCGCUUUCGCCUGUGACGAAGCGUGAGUGACGGUAAUGGGUAAAGAAGCACCGGCUAACUACGUG
rnacentral:rRNA from 1 species